GCUUCCAGGAAAAGCCUCUAAGCAUCAGGUAACAUCAAAUCGUACCCCAAACCGACACAGGUGGUCAGGUAGAGAAUACCAAGGCGCUUGAGAGAACUCGGGUGAAGGAACUAGGCAAAAUGGUGCCGUAACUUCGGGAGAAGGCACGCUGACACGUAGGUGAAGUGAUUUACUCACGGAGCUGAAGUCAGUCGAAGAUACCAGCUGGCUGCAACUGUUUAUUAAAAACACAGCACUGUGCAAACACGAAAGUGGACGUAUACGGUGUGACGCCUGCCCGGUGCCGGAAGGUUAAUUGAUGGGGUCAGCGCAAGCGAAGCUCCUGAUCGAAGCCCCGGUAAACGGCGGCCGUAACUAUAACGGUCCUAAGGUAGCGAAAUUCCUUGUCGGGUAAGUUCCGACCUGCACGAAUGGCGUAAUGAUGGCCAGGCUGUCUCCACCCGAGACUCAGUGAAAUUGAACUCGCUGUGAAGAUGCAGUGUACCCGCGGCAAGACGGAAAGACCCCGUGAACCUUUACUAUAGCUUGACACUGAACAUUGAGCCUUGAUGUGUAGGAUAGGUGGGAGGCUUUGAAGCGUGGACGCCAGUCUGCGUGGAGCCGACCUUGAAAUACCACCCUUUAAUGUUUGAUGUUCUAACGUGGACCCGUAAUCCGGGUUGCGGACAGUGUCUGGUGGGUAGUUUGACUGGGGCGGUCUCCUCCUAAAGAGUAACGGAGGAGCACGAAGGUUGGCUAAUCCUGGUCGGACAUCAGGAGGUUAGUGCAAUGGCAUAAGCCAGCUUGACUGCGAGCGUGACGGCGCGAGCAGGUGCGAAAGCAGGUCAUAGUGAUCCGGUGGUUCUGAAUGGAAGGGCCAUCGCUCAACGGAUAAAAGGUACUCCGGGGAUAACAGGCUGAUACCGCCCAAGAGUUCAUAUCGACGGCGGUGUUUGGCACCUCGAUGUCGGCUCAUCACAUCCUGGGGCUGAAGUAGGUCCCAAGGGUAUGGCUGUUCGCCAUUUAAAGUGGUACGCGAGCUGGGUUUAGAACGUCGUGAGACAGUUCGGUCCCUAUCUGCCGUGGGCGCUGGAGAACUGAGGGGGGCUGCUCCUAGUACGAGAGGACCGGAGUGGACGCAUCACUGGUGUUCGGGUUGUCAUGCCAAUGGCACUGCCCGGUAGCUAAAUGCGGAAGAGAUAAGUGCUGAAAGCAUCUAAGCACGAAACUUGCCCCGAGAUGAGUUCUCCCUGAGACUUAGAGUCUCCUGAAGGAACGUUGAAGACGACGACGUUGAUAGGCCGGGUGUGUAAGCGCAGCGAUGCGUUGAGCUAACCGGUACUAAUGAACCGUGAGGCUUAACCUUACAACGCCGAAG
rnacentral:rRNA from 1 species